rnacentral:rRNA from 1 species
UAUCUCUGUAGAGUCUGCAUAUCAAUAAGCGGAGGAAAAGAAACUAACUAGGAUUCCCUCAGUAACGGCGAGUGAAGCGGGAAGAGCUCAAAUUUGAAAUCUUCAAGGUUUUACCUUGACGAAUUGUAGCUUAAAGAAGUGUUUUCUGUUGGAGUUUUGGUAAAAGUUCUUUGGAAUAGGACAUCAUAGAGGGUGAGAAUCCCGUAUUUGACCAUUAUUUCCAGCUUUGUGAUACACUUUCAAAGAGUCGGAUUGUUUGGGAAUGCAGUCCAAAAUGGGUGGUAAAUUUCAUCUAAAGCUAAAUACUGGCGAGAGACCGAUAGCGAACAAGUACCGUGAGGGAAAGAUGAAAAGAACUUUGAAAAGAGAGUUAAACAGUUCGUGAAAUUGUCAAAAGGGAAGCGUUUGACACCAGUGUUGUUUUCUCGAAAAUCAAUUAAAAAUGGUGGGAUUUUGUGUUGUAUUGACUUUAUCAGGUUUCUGCACUCUUUUCCUAUCUUUUUUAAUGCACUUUUCGUUUAACAAGUCAACAUCAAUUUCUUUUGUUGUAAAAGAGUCAUUGGAAGGUGGCUUUCUUUUCGGAGAAAGUGUUUAUAGCCUUUGGCCUCUGCAAUCGGAGAGAUUGAGGUCUGCAGCGUAGAUCCUUCGGGGUUAGAUACAUUUGUGCUAAGUUAUAGCCUUUCAUAGACAACUUGUUGACUAUGAUCAGUCAUGUAGCUUACUCGCUUAUGCUAUUUUACCUACGCUUAGGAUGUUGAGUCAUCACACAUCUCU